GAUGAACUCUAGCGGCAGGCCUAACACAUGCAAGUCGAGGGGUAGCAGGAUUAAGCUUGCUUAAUUGCUGACGACCGGCGCACGGGUGCGGAACGCGUAUGCAACCUACCUUAUACUGGUGUAUAGCCCGGAGAAAUUCGGAUUAAUCCCCCAUAGUACUAAUGAAUCGCAUGGCUUAUUAGUUAAAGCAUUGCGGUAUAAGAUGGGCAUCCGUCCUAUUAGCUAGAUGGUGAGGUAACGGCUCACCAUGGCUACGACAGGUAGGGUGCCUGAGAGGGGGGUCCCCCAGACGGGUGCGGAGACACGGACCAGACGCCUUGGGGAGGCAGCAUUGAGGAAUAUUGGGCAAUGGGCGUAGCCCUGAACCAGCCAUGCCGCGGGCAGGAAGAAUGCCUUAUGGGUUGUAAACUGGUUUUAUUUGGGAAUAAUCCUCUUACGUGUAGAGAGCUGAAGGUACCAAAUGAAUAAGCACCGGCUAACUCCGUGCCAGCCGCCGCCGUAA
rnacentral:rRNA from 1 species